rnacentral:pre_miRNA from 1 species
CCUGUGCAGCACUUGCCACCACAGUGGGCUGCUGCAGGACACAUAGCCGGAGCACACGGUGGUGGUACCAGUGCUGGAUCUG